GGGCCGCCACCCCUGCCACGUCCUUCCUUCUCCCCCCGAAGCAGGAGCAGAGCUUCCCCUGGAGAAGCGCAGGAUGUCACCGCCGAGAGCCAACGUGGUACUGGGCUCGUCAUCUCCAAAAGGUUUAAUGAUCCCAGGGAUCCAGCAGAGGAGAGAAUGUGGCUCAAGCCUGUGCACAACAGUGAGGUGAGGAACCAGUGUCUGCGCGAGAAAAGCUCUUCCAGAGGCAGAAACAGCCUUGAAAUGAGCUAAUUUGCCGGGCCCCGAGGCAGCUCACAUUCCUCCAGCAUCUUUAGCAUCGGCACCAUAUUUGGCAGUCGGCAUCCCCGCAAGGCCAAGCUCUUAUCCAGAGGGAUUAGCGGAGCCAAAGAAAAGAAGUUUUACAUUGAAAAUGAAGACAGGGAAGAAAAACAACCCUAAACCAAAACCCGGGGAGAGCUGGUGAGGAACCGCAGAACCAGCUCCACAUGAUUCUGCCCCUGACUAUUUCCAGGUAGCUCCACAAGAGGUAGAAGGGAGCUGCUAAAAGUGAGGUUUGCUUUUUCUUUUGCAGAUUUUCCCGGCAUUUUUCCUGCUGAACAAACAGGAGAGGCUGGGAACGGUGUCUCUCGCUUGUAUUUGUAUCUAAGGCUCGAAUCCUGAGAAUUCAAGCCCUCCUGGAUGGCCCUGAGAAAGAGUGCUCUCUGGGCUGAAAAAGCUUCCAGCAUCCCAGCACCUUCCUACCCCGGUCUGGCAAACAGGAUCUCUCCCGGCAUCCCCCAGCGGAUCCGGGACUCUGCAGACAAUGCCUAUUGUCUCAGUUUAAUUGCAGCAGCUCAUUAAGGACUGGGAGAAGCAAAUCCCAGCUCUUCCUCCCGGAGGAAUGGCCGGCCCUGGUUUGGAGGGGGCUGGGUUUAAGCAGCUCGUCCCUGGUUUGUAGAAGUCACCUUUUAAGGGGUUUUAACCCUUUUUUGAUGGAUCUAAUGUUUGUGGUGGUGCAGCAUCCUCAAAGCUGAUAAGCUAUCUCCCCCAUCUCCCAGCCUGGGAGCAGCAAACAUUCCUGCUUUGUGGAACAAAACCUCUGGCUGACCUGUAUCUGUUAAAUAACAAAAGGUACUCGAGUUGUUUGCAUACAGCCCUUGUGCCAACAGCCCUGGUGAUACCCAUCCUGGUACCUGUGUUAUCAUCAUCAUCAUCAUCAUUCCUGCAGGUACCAGCAUCCAGGCCCGAUGGGAUCAGCACAGGGGUGUCCUCACCCGUUCCUGAGCCAGGGCUGCAGGCAGGCACAGCCUGAUAGCCUGUCCUCUCUAGUGGAGCCACCCAGGGUGGGCUGGAAGCCCCCCCCAAAGCACCUUGGGGGACCUCUGCCAGAUUUCUGCUGUCUCCCAAGACCAGAGGCUGAUGGAGCAUCCCAAGGCAUUCAGUAUUGUUCUGUCUCCCCAUGGAGACAGUGCCCAAAUUUCUCCCAGCAGGGAGGCAGGAGGAGCUCCCCUUGUGCUCAUGAAAUUCAAUGUAAAGAAAACAAAUUUAUC